GCUAUUUAAGUCCGACCAUCUCGUUGUUUUCCCAUACAUUCUUCACAUCAAUAUAUAUUCUUUCUUUAUUUCUUCAGUGCUACUUGAGUUGUUUCCUGUGUGUUGUCAUACCUUUUUCCGCUGCCAUGCAUAUUUCUUGUUUGGUUGGUGUCUUAUGUUUUGUUGUGUUCGAUAGGUGUACGUGAGAAAUGCGAUGGCGGGAUACUGGAGUAAUGUGAGUGUGCGACCCGGACAGUGAAGGGGACGGACCGUAGGUGUGGUAUGAGGCGACGUUGGCGUACCGGGUGCAGUCACAGGGGUGACGAUCGAGGAACCAGCCACCCGGACAUCAUCAUGGUUUCCUUCUACGUACGUACUCGACAUGGGGUCCGUCCACCCACACCAUACUGCCCAUGCCUACCUUCUACGGCAGCUUCGCCAAGCAUGAGCGGAUGUGUGCUAUGCUGCCAUAGCACCAACGAGGUUCCUACGACCACAUUUGAGGAUUUAAAUGAAGCACAUUCUGUAAGGCUCGGAAAUCAAUAGAAGAAUAGAGGGUGUGUUUAGUUCACGUCAAAAUUGAAAGUUUGGUUGAAAUUGGAACGAUGUGAUAGAAAAGUUGGAAGUUUAUGUGUGUAGAAAAGUUUUGAUAUGAUGGAAAAGUUGAAAGUUUGAAGAAAAAAAAUUAGAACUAAACAAGGCCAGAACAAGGUAGUAGGUGCGUGAGUCGGGUCACAUGCGAGGAGGAGCAGGGACGUGAAGCGUGAGUGGCAGGAAGAGAUGGCGCUGGUGUCGAGGUCUCCAACGGUAUUACUCGAACGAGCAGUUGGGGCCCUGGGAGCUGCGGGGUAAUUGCCGCGAAAAUAGUGCUUUUCCUUGUGUUAUUGCCGUGGGGUUAUUGGAUUUGGAUUUUGGAGUUAGUCUUUAGUAUUUUCAAAUUUCCUAAUUGUAUCUAAUUAUCUCUAUGGUUGGGAUUGUUUUCUCUGCAGAAGGACAAAAUAGUGUGCUAGCGUCAUAGUUGAGCACUAAACCUUAACUUCACACUGAUACUUUUUGCUCAAUUGUUGUAUGUCAUUUUAUACAAAUGUUUAGGAUAUAUAUAUAUUUGGCAUUUAGUAGAGAACUUUGCGAGUUAAGCGAAUUUUGCUAUUUGAUUUACACAUGUUAAUCCUUUCUGUCUUGAUGUGUGGAGCUACUGCACAAGAAAUAGCCUACA